ACUUUCUUUGAGACAACAAAACACUUAAAGUAUUUCACUUGUGCUAAAAUGUAUUUUAUCAUUUCUCCACCUAAUCUGUGUCAAAAUACUUUUGUUUAUGUGUGUGCAUUGUCUAUGGCAAAGACUUAACAGGCUGUGUUUCUUCAAAGGGUAUACAAGUACAAUCUUCAAACAGAAUUUAUUUUAGAAAUAGAUAAAUAAGACAUAAAAGCAACAGUGUUUGGUAAUUCAAUUUAAAAGCAAAAAAAUAUAUUUAAAAAUAUUUGUUAAAAAUUAUUUUACAAAUAAUACUUAAGAUCAGGAUGUACCAUAAAUAUUUGCACCAUGAUAAAACCAGAAAUAAUUGAGAAUGCAUAAGAAAAAAAGAUUUGCAUUACAGUGUAUGUUAAAAAAAUAAUUAUAUUUACAUCACAUACCAGAUUGUGACUGCCCCCUAUUACACUUUAGCAGUCCUCUGCUUAAUGAAAUUUAGAAGGACUUCAAGAGGUCCCAAAGUCCAAUAGCAUCUCUAAUAGAGAAUUUACACAAGCUACAGUUUACAUGUCAUGUACAACCUAUAAUAUUAGUUCUUCCUUAGCGUGACUCACUUAAAAUCAAGGUGAGCGACAUAUAUGUUGGAGAUUAUGAAUGGCACCAAGCUUUGGCACACCUGCAUUCGCAUAUAUCCCAGGCAUCAAUUAUAUGCCAAAGGAAGAAGAACAAUACCUGAAAGCCAUCUUUGGCCACGUGUAGCAUAGGGUUCAGUAUCUCAGUAUCAUAGGGAUCAGCAACUCAUCUAUACAUACCACUCCAUGCAAUGGAAAUGGGAAUGAGAAUGGUACAGAAGACAAAUAACAUAACGAAAUAUGCUGAGAUUAUGCUGAUUCAUAAUAAAAAUCCAAUAAUAAGGUUUCAAUAUAGUCAAGCCUCAAAUACAAUAAACUAACAGAAAUAUUUGAUGGCUAUUGCAAAAUGAAAUUAAUCAACCCUUCCAUUAAAAAGAAAAUUUAAACAGUCAAUUAACUUUGAAUUUAAAACUAUUCUUCUUAAUUUGACAUUCAAUAGGGAAAAGUUAGGAAAGAGCAUUAUCCUUCCCUUCUCUGACUGGCCCAGAACUAAAUGGUCUGCAUAUAUCUAUAUUUAAAAAGUGGUUAUCACUUAAGAGUUAUGGUACAAUGAGCCAACAGAAGAAAAGAGCUUUCAGAAAAAAUCUUCUGCCAGUUGCCAAGAUUUUAAAAAAGUAAUAUACAGAUGUAAGAAAACAAACACACAAAAUAUAAUUACACAAAUAGGAAGGAAUAAGUUAUCCUAAUAAAGCCUGCAAUCAAGUAUUGAACUUGACAUAAUUCUUAAGAGAUUCUAUUCCCUUGUAUUCUUUUCCCUUCAUCCCUUUUUGGAGAGGAGAAAGGGUUAACAGAUUUGGCUAAAUGACUCAAGGACUGGAGGAAGCCACAAAAAGACACUUACUUAGUAACCUGAAAUAUCUACCUACAGGCCAUUUAGAAGGAAUAAGGGUCUCCUAAACCUUCUUCUAAUGUUCACAACUAAUUCCUACAAAUUAUAAAAUCAUGUACUUUUUACUUCUUUUUACAGUUCAUAGCUUGUAUCAUACCCAGUAAGGAUAUGUUUAUAUAGCACUAUGCAAUACAAAGAUUUUAGAUUUAGCUCUGAAUGAACUAGCUCAGAUACUGGAAGCCAUAUAGGCACAUUCAUAGUUAACCCCAAUUAAUAUACCCAGCUUGUCAGGCUGGUACAUUAGCCUCAACAGAUCACUGUGCUAAUGUGGUUAUGCUGAUCUGAGUACCCAAUCUAACUCAAGUAUCCAUGCAUGGCUCUCCACUGUGCGACUCAGACAUUCCCUACAUUACUAGUAAAAAGUAACUGAGGAACUUUUCAGCCAGGAGUAGAAGUGGGGACACCAGGAUUCUCACAGGAAAAAAAAAUAUUUUAUAAUAUUUCCACCCCCUUAUUUCCAGUCUCAAGGGGUGCCUAUAGACAUGCUGUGAGGCUGCUUUGACACACUGUAAUUACAGUGCAUCAGAGCAAACCCAAUAGAUUAAUUUUUUUGCCAGACUCCAUUAAUUACCACACUCCAGCCAGUCUCUGCAUCUCAUGUAUCAGUUACCCCACCCCUCAAAAUGUUGGUGGGGGCACUUGAACUAAAACUUGUCGAAUGACCUUUAGUUCAAGUGCCCCCACCACUAUUUUGAAGUGCAGGAAUACUGAUAUGCAAGAUGUUACGGGGCUUAAAUUAGAGCAGCUCAAUGUAAAAGUGUCCAAGAAGAUCAGUUACUUGGAAAAAGCAUCACUAUAUCAUUAACACUUUUUGGUGCUUACAUGAGUUCAACAUAAAUGGUACUCCCACAGAUGUAAUAAGUGGGUCUUCAGCCCCUGCAUGAUAGAAUUUUUUUUGUUUUUUUGUUUAUUUUUCUUUUUUCAUUGUUCUGAAGUCUGGCUGAGUUCCUGCUGAACAGCUCUUCCCAACAUAGAAGCCAAUUGUUCAAACUAUAGAUUUCUUUACAGAUCCUUUACGAGAGACUUACAUUAUGUAGUAUUUAGGCAAAAACAUGCCAUUAGAAAAGGUCACGUUCAGCUUUUUAGAUCAAAUUAUCUUCCUUAAAUUCAAUCUCAUCCACUUCAAUACAGAUUUUUCUCAACUCCUAUACUGAAAAAUGAAAGUAGCAAGCCACAAGAGCUGGCUGAUUGCGGUAAAAAAAGUCAAAGGUGCACCUGAGCUAAACAGCCAAACAGGUAGCCUGAUUAGGCACACCAGUUUCCAUAAGUGACAUAAAA